UUUUCCGUAAGGGGUGUCACGUAUAUUAUAUAUUUUCAGUACUAGCAGUCAAUAUCGAAACGCAAUCAUAAUUUUGUCGACAUCUUGCUACGUGGGAUAUAUUGAGGAUAUACUAGACAAGCUAAUUGCAUACUGUAGAUAUAUUCAGUAUAUCUCCAUAAAUUAUCAGCGAAAACGGGUAUGGUAAUACGUCUACGGGAUAAGAUGAAUCAACAAAUAUUUCUAGUGAAAAAUGGAUGACAUUUCACGUUUGAUACGUUCAUAUUAAAACAUUAGAAGUUCAUUCGCAACUAGGAAAAUUAAUUGAUAUCGAUGCAACAGAUUGCAGCGCGGAAAAAUUGUUUAAUGCAUUUAAAUAUGAAAUGUGAAAAUUACAAAUACCUUUUUCAAAUAUUGUUGCCUUGUCAUGCGACAAUGCGUCCGUUAUGGUCGGAAAACAUUUAUCUUUCAAGAAAAAAUUGGAAGAGAGAUGUGCAAUAAUGUAUUGACAUUAUCAUGUCCAUGCCAUUCCGUUUCAUUAGCAUGCGUUAAGAUACCUCAAGCUUGUGAGGAAUUCUUGAAAAGAAUUACAAACUAUAUAACUUGUAGUCCCAAGCGAUGGUCUAUUUUCACCGAAUUAAGUUGAAAGAAUGUUUUGAAGAAAGGACUCACAAAAUUGUAAAGUUAUGUAAUACACGAUGACUUUUUCACCACGCGUGUAUCGACAGACUUCUUCAAUCUUGGAACACAAUACAACAUUUUUUGAAUGAAAUGAUCGUGAACGAGAAAGGUACAUCUGCAGAAAAUUUGUUGCGUCAAAUGCAAAUGUAAAUACAAAAGCAUAUUUGCUAUUUUUAAAAUAUAUAUUACAUUUUUUAAAUGUAUUUAAUGCAUUUUUCCAAGCUGAAGAAACGAGGAUACAUCUAUUACAACCAAAA